GAUGAACGCUGGCGGCGUGCUUAACACAUGCAAGUCGAACGAAGCACUUUAUUUGAUUUCCUUCGGGACUGAUUAUUUUGUGACUGAGUGGCGGACGGGUGAGUAACGCGUGGGUAACCUGCCUUGUACAGGGGGAUAACAGUUGGAAACGGCUGCUAAUACCGCAUAAGCGCACAGCAUCGCAUGAUGCAGUGUGAAAAACUCCGGUGGUAUAAGAUGGACCCGCGUUGGAUUAGCUAGUUGGUGAGGUAACGGCCCACCAAGGCGACGAUCCAUAGCCGACCUGAGAGGGUGACCGGCCACAUUGGGACUGAGACACGGCCCAAACUCCUACGGGGGGCAGCAGUGGGGAAUAUUGCACAAUGGGCGAAAGCCUGAUGCAGCGACGCCGCGUGAGCGAAGAAGUAUUUCGGUAUGUAAAGCUCUAUCAGCAGGGAAGAUAAUGACGGUACCUGACUAAGAAGCACCGGCUAAAUACGUG
rnacentral:rRNA from 1 species